CACAAAAGUGCCAUGACAGCAAAUUGAUGCGUAUGCUGAUAGGGACCAAAUCUUGAAGCACUUACACCCAUUGAAAGCAUCCAGAUUACCGCUCCUGUCACUAUAGGAUCAGCUAUGUCUAGGGGAGCAACAGAGGUGUGACAAAUAAAGCUGUGACUACAUGGAUCCACUGUGUAAAAAACUACAUGCAUAGAAG